rnacentral:rRNA from 1 species
UCNUCUGGCUUAACUGGGGGCUUGCGGUGGGUACGGGCCGGCUUGAGUGCGGUAGGGGAGACUGGAACUCCUGGUGUAGCGGUGGAAUGCGCAGAUNUCAGGAAGAACACCGGUGGCGAAGGCGGGUCUCUGGGCCGUUACUGACGCUGAGGAGCGAAAGCGUGGGGAGCGAACAGGAUUAGAUACCCUGGUAGUCCACGCCGUAAACGUUGGGCACUAGGUGUGGGGGGCCUUUUCCGGGUCUUCCGCGCCGUAGCUAACGCAUUAAGUGCCCCGCCUGGGGAGUACGGCCGCAAGGCUAAAACUCAAAGGAAUUGACGGGGGCCCGCACAAGCGGCGGAGCAUGCGGAUUAAUUCGAUGCAACGUGAAGAACCUUACCAAGGCUUGACAUGUGCCGGUCGGCUCCGGAGACGGGGUUUCCUCCUUGUGGGGCCGGUUCACAGGUGGUGCAUGGUUGUCGUCAGCUCGUGUCGUGAGAUGUUGGGUUAAGUCCCGCAACGAGCGCAACCCUUGUCCCGUGUUGCCAGCACGUUGUGGUGGGGACUCGCGGGAGACUGCCGGGGUCAACUCGGAGGAAGGUGGGGAUGACGUCAAAUCAUCAUGCCCCUUAUGUCUUGGGCUUCACGCAUGCUACAAUGGCCGGUACAGAGGGCUGCGAUACCGUGAGGUGGAGCGAAUCCCUUAAAGCCGGUCUCAGUUCGGAUCGGUGUCUGCAACUCGACACCGUGAAGUUGGAGUCGCUAGUAAUCGCAGAUCAGCAACGCUGCGGUGAAUACGUUCUCGGGCCUUGUACACACCGCCCGUCACGUCAUGAAAGUCGGCAACACCCGAAGCCCGUGGCCCU